GACGAACGCUGGCGGCGUGCUUAACACAUGCAAGUCGAACGGAAAGGCCCUGCUUGCCGGGUGCUCGAGUGGCGAACGGGUGAGUAACACGUGGGUGAUCUGCCCCUUACUUUGGGAUAAGCCUGGGAAACUGGGUCUAAUACUGGAUAGGACCAUGCUGUAGGUGGUGUGGUGGAAAGAUUAGUUUCGGUAAGGGAUGAGCUCGCGGCCUAUCAGCUUGUUGGUGGGGUAAUGGCCUACCAAGGCGUCGACGGGUAGCCGGCCUGAGAGGGUGGACGGCCACAUUGGGACUGAGACACGGCCCAGACGCCUACGAGAGGCAGCAGUGGGGAAUAGUGCACAAUGGGCGCAAGCCUGAUGCAGCGACGCCGCGUGGGGGAUGACGGCCUUCGGGUUGUAAACUCCUUUCAGCCAUGACGAAGCCCUUGUGGUGACGGUAGUGGUAGAAGAAGCACCGGCUAACUACGUG
rnacentral:rRNA from 1 species